GGCGAAUGAACCACCACAUGCCCAGCUCCAGCUCAAGACACAAGAAGCUCUGGCAGCUCAGAAGACGCAUUGCAACCUUUAGGACCCGAUGGAAGUCCCACCAGGGCAAGGAGCCUGUCCUCCUCACCACUGCGUCCCGAGGACCACGGAUGGGGACUGGCAACACAUUGGGUUCAGUAUCUCGUAAAUAACCCAGAUUGGUCUCUGCAGAUGGAAUGUGGAACCCUGUCCUGGCUGCUGACGGACUCACUGACUUGCACAGGACUCAAUGCAUCAGGUCUCCUUCAUCAUCCCAACUCACUUGGGAGCUACUCUUGGUCAUCUUUUGACAGCCGUGUGACUCCCCCAGGUCAGCUGCAUCCUUCCCUCUUCCAAAUCCCUGUGGUGCACAUCAUGCAGAGACUUCUAAAGAACUCACCAUUGGGCUUUGGAGUGUGGUGACUAAGAUGAUGUUUCAGACUGGAAGACGCCCAUCCUACUGAGGGAAUGACAAAGGCAGAGCAAGGACAUUUGAAAACGUGUGCUUCGAACUGUGAGAACACAAAAUGCCCUAGCUUCCACGAGUCCAGAGCCCUUGGAUCUCCCUAAAGAUGCCACAUCGGGCUUCUUGCACCAUUUCAUCAUUGUCAUGUGUGGGCCGUCUAUUCCAUGAACUACUGGACGAAAUUCACCCAUGAUAUUUCAAGAAGAAGAUGUUCCCAAAGGAAGGGGCAGAAAACUAAGGAAUAAUGAUGCAAAGAAGGAAGUGGCUCCACACUGAACUUGGGGAGAUGGCAUCAUCCCUCAGACCCCUCCCCAAAUAAAGCCUUGAAAGCACUGCUGUCCGCCUGGUGUGGACUUGGCGGACCUUGUACAGAGCUGACGGUCAGCUUCAAUGUCUUUGGACCCAGAUAAAACAUCUGUCAACUGAGCCCUCGAGAAGGUGGGCUCAAAUUCAGAACUAUCAUGAAUGGUAGAAUUGGCAUUUUUGUCCCCGGAUCUGUAAGUAGAAUAUGAUUUUGGACUGAGGCUGAACAGCUUGGCUUGAAGAUUUUCUUCCUCUGUAUGCUGUGAUGGAGUCUACGAACUGACACAAAGAAAGACUCAUGACUCAAUUUUUUAACUAGGAAAAAAUUAGAGAAAUUUCACAGAAAAACAAAUAAAAGUGUCCCUUAACACCAACGCCAGUCUUCAGGUUGUAACUUAAGCCCACUCCUUGCGCUUGUUAUUCUAAGCAUAUCUUUCAAUACGUACUCCAUGAUUAACCGUGGAAUUCCUUGAGCUGUUUCUUCUUUGAACUAAGCACAAUGUCAAUCCAACCUUCUCAGCUGGAGGUAUGUUUUGGAGGAGAAAGCUAAAAAAAAAUAGUCUCGGCUAGGCGCGGUGGCUCAUGCCUGUAAUCUCAGCACUUUGGGAGGUCAAGGCAGGCAGAUCACGAGAUAAGGAG
rnacentral:lncRNA from 1 species